UCGACGAGGACGAAUUAUUUACAAGGUAAUAAACGAAAAUGAAUCAUUCAUAAUUCACCUAAUUGGUUCUUUUCACUGAAAAAUGACGUAGGAAAACUAGCCGAGGCCCCAAAUUAAUGUCACUUGCAAGCAACACGCAUCGAACGAUAAAACUGAAAGGAUUCCUGAGUAGUGAUGUAAUGAGUACACAAUUUUACACGCAAGCAAUGAUGUAUCAAAGACAUUGACGACUUACCAUACCCCCCGAGACGAAAAACUAUGGAUGAUUGCUGGAAUAUUUCGAAGAAACAUCUGUUUCGCACUUCGCAGUGAUUCGUUGUGCAAUGUGCACUGUGGUCGAUAUUUGGUGCUAGGGUCAAAUAAACCAUUAGUACCACAGUGAAGUCAUCCUACACUAGUGGACAGCUAGACCGUAGACGGAAUCGAUAAAAGAAAAAGAUACAUAGUAGACAAAAAGGACUCAAAGAAACGAAUACAAUAUCACGGUGUACCCAAAUCAUCCCUAUCUUUCUAAAAAUGGAAACGUCACGUACAUACGCACCACGUACUCGGGCUCUGUUUAUACACAUUAUGACCCAUCCAGUACCUUUGUACCUCUAGGUAUAAUGAAGGGACAGAACUCACUAGUGAAAUUCGGCGAAAUAUAGAAUAAGUAUUGAUU